rnacentral:snRNA from 1 species
GAUCCUUUAGACCUUCGGAA